AGUGAACGCUGGCGGUAGGCCUAACACAUGCAAGUCGAACGGCAGCACAGUAAGAGCUUGCUCUUACGGGUGGCGAGUGGCGGACGGGUGAGGAAUACAUCGGAAUCUACUUUUUCGUGGGGGAUAACGUAGGGAAACUUACGCUAAUACCGCAUACGACCUACGGGUGAAAGCAGGGGAUCUUCGGACCUUGCGCGAUUGAAUGAGCCGAUGUCGGAUUAGCUAGUUGGCGGGGUAAAGGCCCACCAAGGCGACGAUCCGUAGCUGGUCUGAGAGGAUGAUCAGCCACACUGGAACUGAGACACGGUCCAGACUCCUACGGGAGGCAGCAGUGGGGAAUAUUGGACAAUGGGCGCAAGCCUGAUCCAGCCAUACCGCGUGGGUGAAGAAGGCCUUCGGGUUGUAAAGCCCUUUUGUUGGGAAAGAAAAGCAGCAGGUUAAUACCCCACUGUUCUGACGGUACCCAGAGAAUAAGCACCGGCUAACUUCGUG
rnacentral:rRNA from 1 species